CAUCCUGACACAUACAGAAUAGUAUAAAUGUGUAAAUGAUUCUCAACUACAAAGGAAUCAACAAAAAGUUCAAUGAGAAGAAAGGAAGAGUGCUAGUGAGAUAUUGAGAGGGGUAGGAGCAACUAUAUCUUGUAGGAUAUGAGCUGUCUUUCUGAUGAGUGCUUCCAGAUGAAGUGGAAAGACUACUGAGCCACAUCAAAACUACUAAUUGCAAUACACUCCCAUUUGUGGACAUGCAUUAUAGCUAGAAGAGGACAAUUACUUGUGAACAUCAGUCCGAGAAUUCCCCAGCCAACAUGUUUUAAAGUUGCCAAGGUUGAGAAACACUGGUUUAAAUAUAAAGUCGAGUAGGAAGUAAAGAGGCUGGGUGUGAAAGUAAGAGGGUUUUUUUUUUUGCAAGAAAGCAAGAUCCUGAAAGUGAAUAGAUAAUUAAGAAAUUUGUAUAAAAUCUGAGGUUCUUAGACCAACUCUCAUCAAUAGUAUAAGAGACUUUAGCCAGAAAUGAACUACAGCUCAUAUGGGGAAGGAGAACAUGUUUGGCAAGAGCUUUGGGAAUCUUAUCAGGAGGGCUAAACUGAAAAAGGAUGAGGGGAAAAAGAAAUAUGGACCAUGAAAAGUCUUGGACACUAGGAACAUGGCUUCAUACCAUCAUAAUAAGGCUAUGCAAGACAAAGCAAAAGUUAAAAUUCUUAAUAGAGGUAGUGCUUACAAACAUUUCUUUAGUGACCGUUCAAAGUAACAACAGCACUGAAAAAAGUGACAUGGCUAUUUUUCACACAACUGUUGCAGUAUCCCCACGUUCACAUCAUCAAAAUUCGGAUACUUGGGAAGCGUCGCGGCAAGACAGUCGGGGAAUUAGUGGGUUCUGAUGAUCUCUGUGAAAACCCGGACUGACAAACCGCUGCCGAGGGGUCUUCGGACCAGGACCAUCCUGUAGGGACGGGGAAGGAGAGACACCUCGGAAGACCAAGAGGAACAGGCAAGUUCCUCGAAGGUCAGAGGAAUCUCUCUCUGAUUCGGUGGUGGAGGUGGCAGCCAUUGCGGCUGUCAAGAAGCUGGGGCAACUGGAAUAAGUAUUGAGCAGGAGCGAUGAAUGCAACAGAGUUUUUGAAGCCGGAAGGGGAAGGAGACACUCGAAUCCGCUACCCUGGACUUAAUUUGGACCAAAGAGAGGAGCUGAUCAGUAGCCUGAUGGUAUCAGGUGCCCUGGGAGAAGUGGGCAGGUCGUGUUGAUAUUCAGACUCAAGAGGGAGAAAAGCUGAGCGGAAUAAGCCACAGACUUCAGAGAGAUCAGCCCUGCUGGAUGAAGCAAAGAGAGUUUCAUUGCCCUUUUGUGAUUGUUCCAGCAUCCCGGCUGCUUCUUUCAAAAUACGCUUAAUAAACCUAAAAGUGCUUCACAGUUAACGUAGCAGGAUUGGAAGCCAAUACAACGCGGGGAACUCUUUUCUUUAAAAUCAUGUGUUGCAUUAUUUAUCCCAUUGCACUAUUGGAAAGUAAACUCUUUCAGCAUAA